rnacentral:rRNA from 1 species
AUUCCAGCUCCAAUAGCGUAUAUUAAAGUUGUUGCAGUUAGAACGCUCGUAGUCGGAUUUCGGGGCGGGUCGACCGGUCUGCCGAUGGGUACGCACUGGCCGACGCGUCCUUCCUUCCGGAGACCGUCUCACUCUUAACUGAGCGGAGGCGGGAGACGGAACGUUUACUUUGAAAAAAUCAGAGUGUUUCAAGCAGGCAGCUCGCUCUUGCAUGGAUUAGCAUGGGAUAAUGAAAUAGGACUUUGGUGCUAUUUUGUUGGUUUCGAACACCGAAGUAAUGAUGAGCAGGGACAGUCAGGGGCACUCGUAUUCCGCCGAGAGAGGUGAAAUUCUCAGACCAGCGGAAGACGAACUACUGCGAAAGCAUUUGCCAGGGAUGUUUUCAUCA